UAGUAUCGCCAAGCGAAGAAAGCUAUCGAUCUAUAGAUCGAAAAGGACAAGAGUAAUAUAAUACAAGAAAACAAAAAAUAAAAGAAACGGGGUGGCGACCGGUGGCGAUUGCUCACCAGCCACCGGAACAGUUUACUCUUGUUUGUACUCUAGAGAGAAGACAUAGCGUUUAGAGAGAAACAAGAAUAAUUAUUGUAUUUUGUUUUAAAAUAAUAAUCAUUAGUAUUUUGAUAAAUUUUAAUUGUAAAAUCUAAAUAUUUAUUGCUAUUUUGUUGUAUUAUUUUAAAGUAAUGUAUUAAUUAAUUUUUGAAAAAAAUACAGCAAAACCAAAAACUAAAAUUAAAAUCUAAAAACCAAAAACUAAAAGCUGAAAACCAAAAACCAAAAUCUAAAAACAAAAAACUAAAAUCUAAAAACCAAAAACUAAAACUAAAAACUACUAAAACAAUCACCACCUUGGUUUCCACUUGACAUGUCAUCGUUGUCUAAAUUAUC
rnacentral:lncRNA from 1 species